GGCGAGUGAGCGGCAACAGCUCAAAUUUGAAAUCUGGCGCAAGCCCGAGUUGUAAUUUGUAGAGGAUGUUUCUGGCGACGCGCCUUCCGAGUUCCCUGGAACGGGACGCCAUAGAGGGUGAGAGCCCCGUACGGUUGNAUGNCCUANCCUCUGUGAAACUCCUUCGACGAGUCGAGUAGUUUGGGAAUGCUGCUCUAAAUGGGAGGUAUACGUCUUCUAAAGCUAAAUACCGGCCAGAGACCGAUAGCGCACAAGUAGAGUGAUCGAAAGAUGAAAAGCACUUUGAAAAGAGGGUUAAAAAGUACGUGAAAUUGUUGAAAGGGAAGCGUUCAUGACCAGACUUGGGCAGGUUGAUCAUCCGUGGUUCUCCGNGGGGGCACUCUGCCUGCCCAGGCCAGCAUCAGUUCGCCCCGGGGGANAANGGCUUUGGGAAUGUGGCUCCCUCGGGAGUGUUAUAGCCCACUGCGUAAUACCCUGGGGUGGACUGAGGUUCGNGCUCUGCAAGGAUGCUGGC
rnacentral:rRNA from 1 species